GAUGAAGAACGUAGCAAAAUGCGAUAAGUAAUGUGAAUUGCAGAAUUCAGUGAAUCAUCGAAUCUUUGAACGCACAUUGCGCCCCUUGGUAUUCCGAGGGGCAUGCCUGUUCGAGCGUCAUUAUAACCCUCAAGCUCAGCUUGGUGUUGGGGCCUGCUGCACUGGCAGCCCUUAAAAUCAGUGGCGGCGCCAUCUGGCUCUAAGCGUAGUAAUUCUUCUCGCUAUGGAGUCCUGGUGGAUGCUUGCCAUCAACCCCCAAUUUUUCUAUGGUUGACCUCGGAUCAGGUAGGGAUACCCGCUGAACUUAAGCAUAUCAAUAAGCGGAGGA
rnacentral:misc_RNA from 1 species